rnacentral:rRNA from 1 species
GAUGAACGCUGGCGGCGUGCCUAAUACAUGCAAGUCGAGCGAACAGAUGAGGAGCUUGCUCCUCUGACGUUAGCGGCGGACGGGUGAGUAACACGUGGAUAACCUACCUAUAAGACUGGGAUAACUUCGGGAAACCGGAGCUAAUACCGGAUAAUAUAUUGAACCGCAUGGUUCAAUAGUGAAAGACGGUUUUGCUGUCACUUAUAGAUGGAUCCGCGCCGCAUUAGCUAGUUGGUAAGGUAACGGCUUACCAAGGCGACGAUGCGUAGCCGACCUGAGAGGGUGAUCGGCCACACUGGAACUGAGACACGGUCCAGACUCCUACGGGAGGCAGCAGUAGGGAAUCUGCCGCAAUGGGCGAAAGCCUGACGGAGCAACGCCGCGUGAGUGAUGAAGGUCUGCGGAUCGUAAAACUCUGUUAUUAGGGAAGAACAAAUGUGUAAGUAACUAUGCACGUCUUGACGGUACCUAAUCAGAAAGCCACGGCUAACUACGU